rnacentral:tRNA from 1 species
AGCCUCGUAGCUCAGCUGGUAGAGCAUGCGCGUACAAAGCGAAGGCGGCGUCCAUGCGUGGGUUCGAAUCCACUGAGGCUA